AACGAACGCUGGCGGCGUGGAUAAGACAUGCAAGUCGAACGGGAGUUUGCGGGUAGCAAUAUUCGCGAACUUUAGUGGCGAAAGGGUGCGUAACACGUAGCUACCUACCUCGAAGCGGGGGAUAGCUCGGCGAAAGCCGAAUUAAUACCGCAUGUGAUCGAGAGAUUAAAGCCGGGGCUCGCAAGACCUGGCACUUAGAGAUGGGGCUGCGGCCGAUCAGCUAGUUGGCGGGGUAACGGCCCACCAAGGCAAUGACGGGUAGCUGGCCUGAGAGGACGACCAGCCACACUGGAACUGAGACACGGUCCAGACACCUACGGGUGGCAGCAGUCGAGGAUUUUUCUCAAUGGGCGAAAGCCUGAAGGAGCGACGCCGCGUGGGGGAUGAAGGUCUUCGGAUUGUAAACCCCUGUCAUCCGGGAACAAUGCGCUCCACCUAGCACGUGGAUCGUUGAUAGUACUGGAAGAGGAAGACGUGGCUAACUCUGUGCCAGCAGCCGCCGUAA
rnacentral:rRNA from 1 species